rnacentral:lncRNA from 1 species
AGACCCCUCCCACGUGAGAUGGGGUCAAUGCUGCAUGGAGGGCUUUCAAGGUGGAACUGACAACUUGAAAGCAGGAGCGCCAAACUCCUGUCUGGUGGGACCCUUUAAAACCCGUGAUUUUAUAAAGAAAGAAAGCAGGUGAGAGUGUUGCAGUCAAGCUCCGGAGAAGCAGAACCUGAAACAGGGAUCCUCGGGCGAGGCGGGUGUUGAGGGAGGGCUCUCAGGAGAAACCUGGAAGAAGAUGCUAGGGAAAAAUGUGGUUCAAGCGAAGUCUAGCCUCAGCCUGACCCCAUGGGUAGCUCUGGAGCGUGACUUGCCCUACAGAGGUGGUUCCUCCUACAAGAGGAAGAAACUGAGGCUCAGAGAGCUUAAGUAAUUUGCCCAACGUCGCCUAGCAGCACAAAAGCAAAUCAUGCUUCUAAAAAAAAAGAAAUUGGAACCUUACAGCAACUUGGAAAAUGGGCGUCCUCCGUAACCUGCUAUUCCAAGUGGGGUCCUGGCUUGGCGUCACCUGGGAACGUGUCAGAAAUGCAGAGUCUCAGGCCUUCCCGCCCUGCCCGGCUGAAUUGGAAUCUGCGUUUCACAGGAUCCCACUGACUCACAGGCACUGUAAGUGUGAAGAGCUAGUGCAACCCUCCUCCUCUCCCACCCCCGUGAAGACCACAAGUGUCCCCAGUUUGUGUGCAUUUGAGAGCCUUUUAAAAAGCACACUCUUCUAACCUCUCAGUAAUUACCUGCAAUUUUGUAGCCGCAUCUGAAACCAAAAUCCUCUUCAAAGCCAUUCAGCAGGGAGCUAACAAAACAUCAUCAUCUUGUCUGUCUGCUCCCACUCUGCCCCCCUCCAACCUGUCACCCCCCCAGUUGCCACAGAGAUCUUUUAAAAAAAAAAAAAAGAUAAAUAAAUCAGCUCAUGUCGCUCUCCUGCUUAGAAUCCUGCGGUGGCUUUCCAUUGCUCUGGGAACAGCCCGGCAUCCUCGCCACCGCCUGUCUCCAGCGCCCUUCCUCCUGCUCCUCACUCCUGACACACUGAUCUUCUCUCUGGGUCUUUGCCAUCUCUGCUCCUGUGCCCGAUGCCCUUUCUUCCUCUUUCCCUGGAUGGUUCCUUUUCAUCCUUCAUGUCUCAACUUAAAUGUCACCUCCUCAGAGGUGCGAGAGGAAAUGCCCACCUUGGGACUAGCACACCCUUGCCUGCCAGUGCUCUCUGCCACAGCGGCUAUGGUCAGGACUGUCUCCCCAUAGAUGUGUGAGUCCCAUGGGAGCGGGGACCUCCUGCCUCACUCAGUCACUCUCCUUUGUAUGCAGUACUUGGCAAAUGGCCUGCACACGGUAGGUUAAUACUCAAUA